UACGUAGGGGGCAAGCGUUGUCCGGAUUUAUUGGGCGUAAAGAGCGUGUAGGCGGUUUUACAGGUCCGCUGUGAAAACUCGAGGCUCAACCUCGAGCUGUCGGUGGAAACCGUAAGGCUAGAGUCCGGAAGAGGAGAGUGGAAUUCCGUGGAUGUAGCGGUGAAAUGCGCAGAUAUCAGGAAGAACACCCGUGGCGAAGGCGGCUCUCUGGGACGGUACUGACGCUGAGACGCGAAAGCGUGGGGAGCGAACAGG
rnacentral:rRNA from 1 species